AAUUGAUUAACAGGUCCUUUUCCAGAAAUGGUAGUGGUAAUUUGAUUACUGUGUUCAGAGCCAGAGUUGGAAAGGAAUGUGAGGAAUGUCCAUGGAUGGAUGGCAUAGAGAUAGCCAGAAAGUGAGGUUGGGCAGACCUAGUACCAGGCAAGCUAGGGUGAAUGGUCACCAAUCAGAGUCUUAGGGUCCCCAGGGUGGGAAAUUGAGUGCCAUCAUGGGGAGAAGUCUGGAGUAGCAGGCAGCAUGGCAUGGAGAAUUGCAUGAAGUACAUUUUUCUUCUUUUUUGUCUUUUUUCUUUUAGGGCAUUGACACAAGAUUUUUAAAGGCAUAGAUAUUUUUGCAACUAAAAGUAUACUAUGUCUUGGCCCUUGUCCCUGUGCUGGAUGAAAUUCAGAUGAGGAUGGCAUCUAACCUGUGGGUCAGAGGUUUGUCAAAGCCUUGCUCUAAGAAGACUCACCUUUUUUAGGCUGCUACUAUAUAUGCGUGCCCAUGUAAUGGCAUCCUGUUCUCAAGGAGGUGGAGCAACCGACUUCUCCUUGAAUAACUGGGAGAUGACACAGGAAGCUACAUGUCACAGUUGAUCGAAAAUGACAUAGACACUGAAAAUCAGGACUUUCAGCCCAACUCUGAGCUCCCUCUUGAAUGCUGAUCAGGAGAAAUGCAAAUGGAAAAAAAAAAAAGAAAAAUGCAAAAAAGUUUGUCUCUGGGAUUGGGGCUAAUGAACUUAUGCUGUGAAGUAUAGGUUUUGAAUUGUUUCAGAGUUACUUAUGAUAUUAGCAUGAUAUCUUAGGCAGAGACUCUUCUGGUUGGAUUCAUUCAUCUGCCCAAAGCUAUUUAUCUUUGUCUUAAUUCUCUCUUCCAUGAUCAAAAGCAAAACUAAAGAAAAUGUCAGUCAUUUGUUUAUUCACUAUUUUUAGCACCAAGUUAACUGGAAAGACGGUGUAUUUCUUUCAAACCUCGUAAACCAUGUGGUAACCUCACAGAAGAUUAACCAGGACGACUAAAUUCUCUCAUUCUGCAGCUUUUGUUCUGGUUAUUUUUUUCUCAUAUACUUCACUAGAAAACAAGUAUUUAUAUCAUUGUACUCUGUCAUUUAAAAAAGGCAAUAAAAGGCCCUUUCUGACCCA
rnacentral:lncRNA from 1 species